GGGGUAUAGCUCAGUUGGUUAGAGCGCACGCCUGAUAAGCGUGAGGUCGGUAGUUCAACUCUACCUACCCCC
rnacentral:tRNA from 1 species